CCUAGAUGUUCCUGGUUCUCUCUGCAGAGGGGCCUGGACCAAUGCCUCCAGCUCCUCCUCCUACAAGCUUUAAAAGUCAGAGUGGAAGGCAUGCACCCCAAGCUGGGGCAGGGCCGGGCGUGCAGCUGGGUCAGGUGGCCCCGGCUCUGGAGAGAGCAGGAAUGCAAGGCAUGGGCCAGGCAGGUCUUCACAGAGGCCUGGAGGAGGCUGAUUGAGCUGCAAAGCCCAACCAGCUCAUCAGGCCAGAGAAGAAGAAAUUCUACCUCAAGACUAAAACACCAACUCCUGCCUGAGUUCCCAGCCCGUGGCCUGUGGAUUUCACACUUGCCAUCCCCCAUGAACACCUGAUCCAAACUGCAUAAGAGGAAUCUCCUUAGGUGAU